rnacentral:rRNA from 1 species
UACGUAGGGGGCAAGCGUUGUCCGGAUUUAUUGGGCGUAAAGAGCUCGUAGGCGGCUCGGUAAGUCGGAUGUGAAACCUCCAGGCUCAACCUGGAGACGCCAUCUGAUACUGCCGUGGCUUGAGUCCGGUAGAGGAGCAGGGAAUUCCUGGUGUAGCGUGAAUGCGCAGAUAUCAGGAGGAACACCAAUUGCGAAGGCAGCUCGCUGGGACGUAACUGACGCUGAGACGCGAAAGCGUGGGGAGCAAACAGG